UCGGGAAUUUUGGGCAAUGGGGGAAACCCUGACCCAGCAACGCCGCGUGAAGGAUGAAGUAUUUCGGUAUGUAAACUUCGAAAGAAUAGGAAGAAUUAAUGACGGUACUAUUUAUAAGGUCCGGCUAACUAAGUGCCAGCAGCCGCGGUAAUACGUAGGGACCAAGCGUUGUUCGGAUUUACUGGGCGUAAAGGGCGCGUAGGCGGUGCGGUAAGUCACUUGUGAAAUCUCUGAGCUUAACUCAGAACGGCCAAGUGAUACUGCAGUGCUAGAGUGUGGAAGGGGCAAUCGGAAUUCUUGGUGUAGCGGUGAAAUGCGUAGAUAUCAAGAGGAACACCUGAGGUGAAGACGGGUUGCUGGGCCAACACUGACGCUGAGGCGCGAAAGCCAGGGGAGCAAACGGG
rnacentral:rRNA from 1 species